GACGAACGCUGGCGGCGUGCUUAACACAUGCAAGUCGAGCGGAAAGGCCCUUUCGGGGGUACUCGAGCGGCAAACGGGUGAGUAACACGUGAGUAAUCUGCCCUGGACUCUGGGAUAGCCACCGGAAACGGUGAUUAAUACCGGAUACAACCACUAUCCGCAUGGGUUGGUGGUGGAAAGUUUUUUCGGUCCAGGAUGUGCUCGCGGCCUAUCAGCUUGUUGGUGAGGUAAUGGCUCACCAAGGCUUUGACGGGUAGCCGGCCUGAGAGGGUGACCGGUCACACUGGGACUGAGACACGGCCCAGACUCCUACGGGAGGCAGCAGUGGGGAAUAUUGGACAAUGGGCGGAAGCCUGAUCCAGCAACGCCGCGUGAGGGAUGACGGCCUUCGGGUUGUAAACCUCUUUCAGUACCGACGAAGCGCAAGUGACGGUAGGUACAGAAGAAGGACCGGCCAACUACGUGCCAGCCGCCGCGGUAAAAC
rnacentral:rRNA from 1 species